CGGUGUCCUCCAAGCUUCGAGACAAAACAAAUGCUUCCUUAACUCACCUUUUGUCAGGAAACAUGGCUUCUCCUCUAGAAUCAAGCCAAAGUUGCUUGCUCUCUCUCCUCUGCAUCCUGAAGAUGCUGCUCUCAAGGUUGUGCCACUAAGGGAGAGAGGGUGAAGAGGACAUACAGAGCAAUCAGGG